rnacentral:rRNA from 1 species
UACGAAGGGUGCAAGCGUUACUCGGAAUUACUGGGCGUAAAGGGUGCGUAGGCGGUUUGUUAAGUCUGAUGUGAAAGCCCUGGGCUCAACCUGGGAAUUGCAUUGGAUACUGGCAGGCUAGAGUGCGGGAGAGGGUAGUGGAAUUCCCGGUGUAGCAGUGAAAUGCGUAGAGAUCGGGAGGAACACCGGUGGCGAAGGCGGCUACCUGGACCAGCACUGACGCUGAGGCGCGAAAGCGUGGGGAGCAAACAGG